rnacentral:tRNA from 1 species
UAGCUCAACUGGUAGAGCAACUGACUUGUAAUCAGUAGGUUGGGGGUUCAAGUCCUCUUGCCGGCA